AACGAACGCUGGCGGCAGGCCUAACACAUGCAAGUCGAGCGCCCAGCAAUGGGAGCGGCAGACGGGUGAGUAACACGUGGGAACCUUCCCUAUAGUACGGAAUAGCCCAGGGAAACUUGGAGUAAUACCGCAUACGCCCGAGAGGGGAAAGAUUUAUCGCUAUAGGAUGGGCCCGCGUAGGAUUAGCUAGUUGGUGAGGUAAUGGCUCACCAAGGCGACGAUCCUUAGCUGGUCUGAGAGGACGACCAGCCACACUGGGACUGAGACACGGCCCAGACUCCUACGGGAGGCAGCAGUGGGGAAUAUUGGACAAUGGGCGCAAGCCUGAUCCAGCCAUGCCGCGUGAGUGAUGAAGGCCUUAGGGUUGUAAAGCUCUUUUGUCAGGGAAGAACGGUGAGUUCUAAUACAGCUUGCUAAUGACGGUACCUGAAGAAUAAGCACCGGCUAACUACGUGCCAGCAGCCGCGGUAAU
rnacentral:rRNA from 1 species